rfam:Trachymyrmex septentrionalis contig842, whole genome shotgun sequence.
GCAAUAACAGGUCUGUGAUGCCCUUAGAUGUUCUGGGCCGCACGCGCGCUACACUGAAGGAAUCAGCGUGUGUUCCCUGGCCGAAAGGCCCGGGUAACCCGCUGAACCUCCUUCGUGCUAGGGAUUGGGGCUUGCAAUUGUUCCCCAUGAACGAGGAAUUCCCAGUAAGCGCGAGUCAUAAGCUCGCGUUGAUUACGUCCCUGCCCUUUGUACACACCGCCCGUCGC